rnacentral:rRNA from 1 species
GAUGAACGCUGGCGGCGUGCCUAAUACAUGCAAGUCGAGCGAACACACGAGGAGCUUGCUCCUCUGACGUUAGCGGCGGACGGGAGAGUAACACGUGGAUAACCUACCUAUAAGACUGGGAUAACUUCGCGAAAUCGGAGCUAAUAGCGGAUAACAUGUUGAACCUCAAGGUUCAACAGUGUAAGACGGUCUUUCUUGCACUUAUAGAUGGCUCCGCCCCGCAUUAGCUGGUUGGUAAGGUAACGGAUUACCAAGGCAACGAUGCGUAGCCGACCCGAAAGCGAGAACGAGCACAUGGGAAGUGAGACACACUCCAGACUCCGACGCUAGGCAACAGUAGAGAAUCCUACGCGAUGGACGAGAGCCUGACGGAGCGACACCGCGUAAGUGAAGACGGACUUAGGAUGGGUGAACGAUGUUGGUAGGAAAGAACAAAUAUGUAUGUAACUAUGCCCAUAUUGACGGUACCUAAUCAGGAAGCCACGGCUAACUACGUG